rnacentral:rRNA from 1 species
ACGGGGUGCAGCAGGCGCGAAAACUUUACACUACACGAAAGUGUGAUAAGGGAAUUCCAAGUGUGCUUAUACCAUAAGCACUUUUUCGGAGCGCAAAAAGCUCCGGGAAUAAGGGGUGGGCAAGACUAGUGCCAGCCGCCGCGGUAAAACUAGCAUCUCGAGUGGCAGUCACAAUUAUUGGGCUUAGAGCGUCCGUAGCUCGUUCGGAAAGUCUCUGGUGAAAUCCUACGGCUUAACCGUAGGGCGCGCCGGAGAAACUACCGAGCUAGAGGGCAGGAGAGGUCGGGGGUACGUCUGGGGUAGGGGUGAAAUCCUAUAAUCCUAGACGGACCAACAGUGGCGAAGGCGCCCGACAUGAAUGCGCCUGACAGUGAGGGACGAGAGCCAAGAGCGCGAAACGGAUUAGAUACCCGUGUAGUCUUGGCCGUAAACGAUGCCGACUAGGUGGGGUGUGACCUUAGUGGUCAUGCUAUGCCGAAGGGAAACCGUUAAGUUGGCCGCCUGGGGAGUACGCUCGCAAGGGUGAAACUUAAAGGAAUUGGCGGGGGAGCAC